GCAGUAACAUCAGCAGUAAAAAUACCAGAAUGAUAAAUCCACAGGGGGAAACAGACACCCCCACCACCAUCAUGUGAAUAAUAUUGUUCUGAUCCUGUACAAAUGACUACACUGUGCUGUUAUCACUGGAUCAUGUAGUCCACUCUCCUCUGCCUAUCUACGCUGAUCUGACCUGUAAUUGGCCUGGUGGUGUCCCCUGAUGGUCUCCAAGUUUAGGAACAAGCUGCCAGUCUCAGCCGCCCAGGGGAAAUGCUGGGACUGAACAUGGAGAUCUGUGGAUAGAGAUCUGGCAGUUACACAGGGAUGGGUGUGACCGCCAGCCCAGAACACAGGGCUGAAAGGUCAGGAGAGCAGCUCUGUCAACACCGUUACACUGCCCAUCAUUAGGGGGAUUGGAUUUUCUUGGGACCAGUGCUUUGUGUUAAUCUGUGGCCAAGAUAAUGAGUCAUAAAGCUGCGCAGAUACAUUUAUAGAGUGAAACGUGUCAGAUGAAAGUCAAUGAUUGGCACUCACAAACAAUGCCGCACAAGGACUGAAAGGUGUGUAGACUCUAGGCCUGCAAAUGUAAUCCCAAUCAUAACGAAACUGCUGUUUGAAUUUGAGACUGAUUGGACUUAAGCUUCAUCAUAAUCUCCUCCACAAACAGUAAAAUCUCCUGUCUUA